rnacentral:rRNA from 2 species
AUGGCUCUUUGUUAGUUAAACAUAAAGAGUCUGGCCUGCCCGGUGAUUUAUUUAAUUUAACGGCCGCGGUACUUUGACCGUGCAAAGGUAGCAUAAUCAUUUGUCUUAUAAUUGAAGUCUGGAAUGAAUGGCUGGACAAGAGCAAAGCUGUCUCUAACUAUUAAACAUAACUUUAUUAUCAAGUUAAAAAGCUUGAAUAUAAUUAAAAGACGAGAAGACCCUAUCGAGCUUUAGGGUGUACUAAAAUUUUUUGCAUUUAUGUAAAAAUAAUAUUUAAAUUGACUUUAGUUGGGGCGACUCGAGAACACAAGGAGCUUCUUGUUUUUAAAAUACUGAUGGUUGACCCUUAAUUUAGGAUUAAAAAAAUUAGUUACCGUAGGGAUAACAGCAUUAUCUUUUUUGAGAGCUCAAAUCGAAAAAAAGGUUUGUGACCUCGAUGUUGGACCAAGAUAUCCUUAAGAUGCAGAAGUCUUAAAAGGUUGGUCUGUUCGACCAUUAAAAUCUUACGUGAUCUGAGUUCAGACCGG